rnacentral:rRNA from 1 species
UUUGGUUAAGUUAGAAAGGGCGCACGGUGGAUGCCUUGACACUAGGAGUCGAUGAAGGACGGGACUAACGCCGAUAUGCUUCGGGGAGCUGUAAGUAAGCUUUGAUCCGAAGAUUUCCGAAUGGGGAAACCCACCAUACGUAAUGGUAUGGUAUCCUUAUCUGAAUACAUAGGGUAAGGAAGACAGACCCAGGGAACUGAAACAUCUAAGUACCUGGAGGAAGAGAAAGCAAAUGCGAUUUCCUGAGUAGCGGCGAGCGAAACGGAACAUAGCCCAAACCAAGAGGCUUGCCUCUUGGGGUUGUAGGACAUUCUAUACGGAGUUACAAAGGAACGAGGUAGACGAAGCGACCUGGAAAGGUCCGUCGUAGAGGGUAACAACCCCGUAGUCGAAACUUCGUUCUCUCUUGAAUGUAUCCUGAGUACGGCGGAACACGUGAAAUUCCGUCGGAAUCUGGGAGGACCAUCUCCCAAGGCUAAAUACUCCCUAGUGAUCGAUAGUGAACCAGUACCGUGAGGGAAAGGUGAAAAGCACCCCGGAAGGGGAGUGAAAGAGAUCCUGAAACCGUGUGCCUACAAAUAGUCAGAGCCCGUUAACGGGUGAUGGCGUGCCUUUUGUAGAAUGAACCGGCGAGUUACGAUCCCGUGCGAGGUUAAGCUGAAGAGGCGGAGCCGCAGCGAAAGCGAGUCUGAAUAGGGCGUUUAGUACGUGGUCGUAGACCCGAAACCAGGUGAUCUACCCAUGUCCAGGGUGAAGUUCAGGUAACACUGAAUGGAGGCCCGAACCCACGCACGUUGAAAAGUGCGGGGAUGAGGUGUGGGUAGCGGAGAAAUUCCAAUCGAACCUGGAGAUAGCUGGUUCUCCCCGAAAUAGCUUUAGGGCUAGCCUUAAGUGUAAGAGUCUUGGAGGUAGAGCACUGAUUGGACUAGGGGUCCUCAUCGGAUUACCGAAUUCAGUCAAACUCCGAAUGCCAAUGACUUAUCCUUAGGAGUCAGACUGCGAGUGAUAAGAUCCGUAGUCAAAAGGGAAACAGCCCAGACCGCCAGCUAAGGUCCCAAAGUGUGUAUUAAGUGGAAAAGGAUGUGGAGUUGCUUAGACAACUAGGAUGUUGGCUUAGAAGCAGCCACCAUUUAAAGAGUGCGUAAUAGCUCACUAGUCGAGUGACUCUGCGCCGAAAAUGUACCGGGGCUAAAUACACCACCGAAGCUGCGGAUUGAUACCGAAUGGUAUCAGUGGUAGGGGAGCGUUCUAAGGACAGUGAAGUCAGACCGGAAGGACUGGUGGAGUGCUUAGAAGUGAGAAUGCCGGUAUGAGUAGCGAAAGACGGGUGAGAAUCCCGUCCACCGAAUGCCUAAGGUUUCCUGAGGAAGGCUCGUCCGCUCAGGGUUAGUCAGGACCUAAGCCGAGGCCGACAGGCGUAGGCGAUGGACAACAGGUUGAUAUUCCUGUACCACCUCUUUAUCGUUUGAGCAAUGGAGGGACGCAGAAGGAUAGAAGAAGCGUGCGAUUGGUUGUGCACGUCCAAGCAGUUAGGCUGAUAAGUAGGCAAAUCCGCUUAUCGUAAAGGCUGAGCUGUGAUGGGGAAGCUCCUUAUGGAGCGAAGUCUUUGAUUCCCCGCUGCCAAGAAAAGCUUCUAGCGAGAUAAAAGGUGCCUGUACCGCAAACCGACACAGGUAGGCGAGGAGAGAAUCCUAAGGUGUGCGAGAGAACUCUGGUUAAGGAACUCGGCAAAAUGACCCCGUAACUUCGGGAGAAGGGGUGCUUUCUUAACGGAAAGCCGCAGUGAAUAGGCCCAAGCGACUGUUUAGCAAAAACACAGCUCUCUGCGAAGCCGUAAGGCGAAGUAUAGGGGGUGACACCUGCCCGGUGCUGGAAGGUUAAGGAGAGGGGUUAGCGUAAGCGAAGCUCUGAACUGAAGCCCCAGUAAACGGCGGCCGUAACUAUAACGGUCCUAAGGUAGCGAAAUUCCUUGUCGGGUAAGUUCCGACCCGCACGAAAGGUGUAACGAUUUGGGCACUGUCUCAACCAGAGACUCGGUGAAAUUAUAGUACCUGUGAAGAUGCAGGUUACCCGCGACAGGACGGAAAGACCCCGUGGAGCUUUACUGUAGCCUGAUAUUGAAUUUUGGUACAGUUUGUACAGGAUAGGCGGGAGCCUUUGAAACCGGAGCGCUAGCUUCGGUGGAGGCGCUGGUGGGAUACCGCCCUGACUGUAUUGAAAUUCUAACCUACGGGUCUUAUCGACCCGGGAGACAGUGUCAGGUGGGCAGUUUGACUGGGGCGGUCGCCUCCUAAAGUGUAACGGAGGCGCCCAAAGGUUCCCUCAGAAUGGUUGGAAAUCAUUCGUAGAGUGCAAAGGCAUAAGGGAGCUUGACUGCGAGACCUACAAGUCGAGCAGGGACGAAAGUCGGGCUUAGUGAUCCGGUGGUUCCGCAUGGAAGGGCCAUCGCUCAACGGAUAAAAGCUACCCCGGGGAUAACAGGCUUAUCUCCCCCAAGAGUCCACAUCGACGGGGAGGUUUGGCACCUCGAUGUCGGCUCAUCGCAUCCUGGGGCUGUAGUCGGUCCCAAGGGUUGGGCUGUUCGCCCAUUAAAGCGGUACGCGAGCUGGGUUCAGAACGUCGUGAGACAGUUCGGUCCCUAUCCGUCGUGGGCGUAGGAAAUUUGAGAGGAGCUGUCCUUAGUACGAGAGGACCGGGAUGGACGCACCGCUGGUGUACCAGUUGUUCUGCCAAGGGCAUAGCUGGGUAGCUAUGUGCGGAAGGGAUAAGUGCUGAAAGCAUCUAAGCAUGAAGCCCCCCUCAAGAUGAGAUUUCCCAUAGCGUAAGCUAGUAAGAUCCCUGAAAGAUGAUCAGGUUGAUAGGUUCGAGGUGGAAGCAUGGUGACAUGUGG